UACGGAGGGUGCAAGCGUUAUCCGGAUUCACUGGGUUUAAAGGGUGCGUAGGCGGGCAGGUAAGUCCGGGGUGAAAUCUCUGAGCUUAACUCAGAAACUGCCAUGGAUACUAUUUGUCUUGAAUGUUGUGGAGGUAAGCGGAAUAUGUCAUGUAGCGGUGAAAUGCUUAGAUAUGACAUAGAACACCAAUUGCGAAGGCAGCUUACUACACAAAUAUUGACGCUGAGGCACGAAAGCGUGGGGAUCAAACAGG
rnacentral:rRNA from 1 species